rnacentral:tRNA from 2 species
GGGGGCGUAGUUCAGAUGGUUAGAAUGCCUGCCUGUCACGCAGGAGGUCGCGGGUUCGAGUCCCGUCGCUCCCG